rnacentral:rRNA from 1 species
GCGCCUAAGGAUGGGUCUGCGGCCUAUCAGGUAGUAGUGGGUGUAGCGUACCUACUAGCCUACGACGGGUACGGGUUGUGAGAGCAAGAGCCCGGAGAUGGAUUCUGAGACACGAAUCCAGGCCCUACGGGGUGCAGCAGGCGCGAAAACUUUACAAUGCUGGCAACAGCGAUAAGGGAACCUCGAGUGCCAGGUUACAAAUCUGGCUGUCGAGAUGCCUAAAAAGCAUUUCAUAGCAAGGGCCGGGCAAGACCGGUGCCAGCCGCCGCGGUAACACCGGCGGCUCGAGUGGUAACCGUUAUUAUUGGGUCUAAAGGGUCUGUAGCCGGCCGGAUAAGUCUCUUGAGAAAUCUGGCAGCUUAACUGUCAGGCUUUCAGGAGAUACUGUCUGGCUCGAGGCCGGGAGAGGUGAGAGGUACUUCAGGGGUAGGGGUGAAAUCUUGUAAUCCUUGAAGGACCACCAGUGGCGAAGGCGUCUCACCAGAACGGACCUGACGGCAAGGGACGAAAGCUAGGGGCACGAACCGGAUUAGAUACCCGGGUAGUCCUAGCCGUAAACGAUACUCGCUAGGUGUCGGCCACGGUGCGACCGUUGUCGGUGCCGUAGGGAAGCCGUGAAGCGAG